CAGCCGCCGCGGUAAUACGUAGGGUGCGAGCGUUAAUCGGAAUUACUGGGCGUAAAGCGUGCGCAGGCGGCUAUGCAAGACAGAUGUGAAAUCCCCGGGCUCAACCUGGGAACUGCAUCUGUGACUGCAUGGCUAGAGUACGGUAGAGGGGGAUGGAAUUCCGCGUGUAGCAGUGAAACGCGUAGAUAUGUGGAGGAACACCGAUGGCGAAGGCAAUCCCCUGGACCUGUACUGACGCUCAUGCACGAAAGCGUGGGGAGCAAACAGGAUUAGAUACCCCGGUAGUCCCUGUCUCUUAUAC
rnacentral:rRNA from 1 species